rnacentral:lncRNA from 1 species
CUUGUUUUUGAAAAAUUGUGCUUCCACAGAUACUUCUGCUUGGCCUUUCUUUUAUAGCUCUAUGCUGUUUAAUGCCUUUUUUUUUUUUUUAAUUUACAGCCAGGCUUUACCCCUUUAAUAAGAAGCACAGAGCCCACCAGCUAGCUGCUUUCCUAUUUUACUCACAUUGUUACUACCUGGAGGCAGGUCUAAUAACAGGAGCACAGCAUCAAUGUCCUGCAUUCAAGCCUUUCCUGGUCAUUUUUCCCUGUUCUGCUGAAUUUUGUGCAACCCGAAUGCUACCCAUUGGCACUGGGACAGGGAGAGCCACCCAUGCAGACCCAGAUGCUGUAGUCCUGCUUUUCUAAGACGGCACUCGACUGGGCAG